rnacentral:tRNA from 1 species
AUUUAGAUAGUUUAAAUAAAAUAUUGAUUUGUGGUAUCAAAGAAAUAAUAAUUAUUCUAAAUU